rnacentral:rRNA from 1 species
AAUAUUGGACAAUGGGGGCAACCCUGAUCCAGCCAUGCCGCGUGUGUGAAGAAGGUCUUCGGUUGUUAAAGCAUUUUAAGAUGGGAGGAAGGGCUUUAGGCUAAUACCCUGAAGUUUUGACGUUACCAACAGUAUAAGCACCGGCUAACUUCGUGCCAGCAGCCGCGGUAAUCCAGAGGGUGCAAGCGUUAAUCGGAAUUACUGGGCGUAAAGCGCGCGUAGGUGGUUCAGUAAGAUGGGUGUGAAAUCCCCGGGCUUAACCUGGGAACUGCUUUCAUAACCGCUGAGCUAGAGUACGGUAGAGGGUAGUGGAAUUUCCUGUGUAGCGGUGAAAUGCGUAGAUAUAGGAAGGAACACCAGUGGCGAAGGCGACUACCUGGACUGAUACUGACACUGAGGUGCGAAAGCGUGGGGAGCAAACA